rnacentral:lncRNA from 1 species
AAGAUGGCUCUUGCCGAUGCUGAGUGGCUUUCUAUUAUUUAUGUUGUUAUUGAAGAUCAGCCUUAGUCCGUGAUGAUUUGAUAGGAUGCAUGGGAUUAUUUCAGUCUUCUUGUAUAUGUUGAGGCAUGUUUUGUGGCCAAUUAUAUGGUCAGUUUUGGAGAAGGUAUUAUGAGUUGCAGAGAAGAAGGUAUAUCCUUUUAUAUUAGGAUAAAAUAUUCUGUAGAUAUCAGUUAAAUGCAUUUAUUUCAUAACUCCUGUUAGUUUCACUGUGUCUCUGUUUAGUUUCUGUUUCCAUGAUCUGUCCAUUGAUGAGAGUGGGGUGUUGAAGUCUCCCACUAUUAUUGUGUUCAGUGCAAUGUGUGCUUUGAUCUUUCCUAAAGUUUCUUUUAUGAAUGUGGGUGCCCUUCAUUUGGAGCAUAGAUAUUCAGAAUUGAGAGUUCAUCUUGGUAGAUUUUACCUUUGAUGAGUAUGAAGUGCCCCUCCUUGUCUUUUUUGAUAACUUUCGGUUGAAAGUUGAUUUUAUUCGAUAUUAGAAUGGCUACUCCAGCUUGUUUCUUGGGACCAUUUAUUUGGAAAAUUGUUUUCCAGCCUUUCACUCUGAGGUAUUGUUUGUCUUUGUCACUGAUGUGGGUUUCCUACAUGAAGCAAAUUGUUGGGUCCUGUUUAUGUAGCCAGUCUGUUAAUCUAUAUCUUUUUAUUUGGGAAUUGAGUCCUUUGAUAUUAAGAGAUAUUAAGGAAAAGUAAUUGUUGCUUGCUGUUAUUUUUGUUGUUAUAGUUGAUAAUCUGUUCAUGUGGCCAUCUUCUUUUAGGUUUGUUGAAAAAUUACUUUCUUGCUUUUUCUAGGACAUAAUUUCCCUCCUUGUGUUGGAGUUUUCACUUUUAUUAUCCUUUGAAGGGCUGAAUUUGCUGAAAGAUAAUGUAUAAAUUUGGUUUUGUCAUGAAAUACCUUGGUUUCUCCAUCUAUGGCAAUUGAGAGUUUUGGUGGGUAUAGUAGCCUGGGCUGACAUUUGAGUUCUCUUAGGGUCUGUAUAACAUCUGUCCAGGAUCUUCUGACUUUCAUAGUCUCUGGUGAGAAGUCUGGUGUAAUUAUGAUAGGUCUACCUUUAUGUUACUUGACAUUUUUUCCUUGCUGCUUUUAAUAAUCUUACUUUGUUUUGUGCAUUUUGUGUUUUGAUUAUUAUGUGAUGGGGAGGAGUUUCUUUUCUGGUCCAAACUAUUUCGAGUUCUGUAGGCUUCUUGUAUGUUCAUGGUCAUCUCUUUCUUUAGGUUGGGGAAGUUUUAUUUUAUAAUUUUGUUGAAGAUAUUUACUGGCCCUUUAAGUUGGAAACCUUCACUCUCUUCUAUACCUAUUAUCGUUAGGUUUGGUCUUCUCAUUGUGUCCUGGAUUUCCUGGAUGUUUUGGGUUAGGAUCUUUUUGCAUUUUGCAUUUUGCAUUUUCUUUGACUGUUGUGUCAAUGUUUUCUAUGGUAUCUUCUGUACCUGAGAUUCUCUAUCUCUUGUAUUCUGUUGGUGAUGCUCUCAUCUGUGGUUCCUGAUUUCUUUCCUAGGUUUUCUAUCUCCAGAUUUGUCUCCCUUUGUGAUUUCUUUAUUGUUCCUACUUCCGUUUUUAGAUCCUGGAUGGUUUUGUGUUCACCUAUUUGGUUGUGGAUUUUUGUGUUUCCUAUUUAAGGAUUUCUACCUGUUUACCUGUGUUCUCCUGUAUUUCUCUAAGCCAGUUAUUUAUGUCCUUCGUAAAGUCCUCCAUCAUUGUCAUGAGAAGUAACUUUAGAUUCAUAUCUUACUUUUCUAGUGUGAUGGUGUAUCCAGGACUUGCUAUGGUGGGAGAAUUGGGUUCUGAUGAUGCCAAGUAACCUUGGUUUCUGUUGCUUCUGUUCUUAUGCUUGCCUCCUGCCAUCUGAUUAUCUCAACUGCUCCCUGCCCUCGAUAUAUCUGAUUGGAGCCUGUCCUUCCAAUAAUCCCAGUUGAGUCAGAACUCAUCAGAGAUCCACUUUCUCUGUGAUCCUGAGAUUCUGGGUAUGUCAGAUUUCCUGGGAGUCAAGCUGCCUCUGAGACCUUGAGAUCCUGAUGUGACCAAGCUCCUGGGAUACUAAGUUACUGAAUAUGCUAGAAAGCCUUUGGGUGGUACCUCCUCUAGGGGCUGUGGGACUGUUUGAUGAGUUCAAGACCAAGGUAGACAGGCGCCAAGCAGGAGGAAUCCGAGCCACUGGUCGUCCCUGUAUACUGCUGGUCCCAGUCAUUGAAUUGAUAAAGUAGAAUUUCUAGAAAUGAAAGAAAAUGUCCUUUCAUAAGCCCCAAGCCCAUGAAAAGAAUUUCACAUCAUUUUCUCCAUUUUAGAACUCU